rnacentral:rRNA from 1 species
UACGAAGGGGCUAGCGUUGUUCGGAAUUAUUGGGCGUAAAGAGCUUGUAGGCGGUUGUCGCGUCUGCGUGUGAAAUCCGGGCUCAACCCGGACUUGCAGUGGUACGGGCAGACUAGAGUGUGGUAGGGGAGACGUGGAAUUCCGUGGUGUAGCGGUGAAAUGCGCAGAUAUCAGGAGGAACACCGGUGGCGAAGGCGGGUCUCUGGGCCGAUACUGACGCUGAGGAGCGAAAGCGUGGGUAGCAAACAGG